rnacentral:rRNA from 1 species
GACGAACCGUGCAAACGUUGUUCGGAAUCACUGGGCUUAAAGGGCGCGUAGGCGGUCGAUCAAGUCCGGGGUGAAAUCUUUCGGCUUAACCGGAAAAGUGCCUUGGAUACUGGUCGGCUGGAGGGAGGUAGGGGCAGGUGGAACUUCCAGUGGAGCGGUGAAAUGCGUUGAUAUUGGAAGGAACGCCGGUGGCGAAAGCGACCUGCUGGACCUCUUCUGACGCUGAGGCGCGAAAGCUAGGGGAGCAAACGGG